rfam:Microgenomates bacterium GW2011_GWC1_39_12 TT26_C0005, whole genome shotgun sequence.
GCUGAGAUGACAGAGUGGUCAAUUGUACUUGUCUGUAAAACAAGUGUCCGAUAGGACUACGAAGGUUCAAAUCCUUCUCUCAGCA